rnacentral:rRNA from 1 species
GCAGCAGCGCGGUAAUACAGAGGGUGCGAGCGUUAAUCGGAUUUACUGGGCGUAAAGCGUGCGUAGGCGGCUUCUUAAGUCGGAUGUGAAAUCCCUGAGCUUAACUUAGGAAUUGCAUUCGAUACUGGGAAGCUAGAGUAUGGGAGAGGAUGGUAGAAUUCCAGGUGUAGCGGUGAAAUGCGUAGAGAUCUGGAGGAAUACCGAUGGCGAAGGCAGCCAUCUGGCCUAAUACUGACGCUGAGGUACGAAAGCAUGGGGAGCAAACAGGAUUAGAUACCCCGGUAGUCCCUGUCUCUUAUACA